GACGAACGCUGGCGGCGUGCUUAACACAUGCAAGUCGAACGGAAAGGCCCUGCUUUUGUGGGGUGCUCGAGUGGCGAACGGGUGAGUAACACGUGAGUAACCUGCCCUUGACUUUGGGAUAACUUCAGGAAACUGGGGCUAAUACCGGAUAGGAGCUCCUGCUGCCUGGUGGGGGUUGGAACGUUUCGGCGGUUGGGGAUGGACUCGCGGCUUAUCAGCUUGUUGGUGGGGUAGUGGCUUACCAAGGCUUUGACGGGUAGCCGGCCUGAGAGGGUGACCGGCCACAUUGGGACUGAGAUACGGCCCAGACUCCUACGGGGGGCAGCAGUGGGGAAUAUUGCACAAUGGGCGGAAGCCUGAUGCAGCAACGCCGCGUGCGGGAUGACGGCCUUCGGGUUGUAAACCGCUUUCGCCUGUGACGAAGCGUGAGUGACGGUAAUGGGUAAAGAAGCACCGGCUAACUACGUG
rnacentral:rRNA from 1 species